rnacentral:lncRNA from 1 species
CCCAUCAUCGCGCAACACACCCCCUUCAACAUGCGCGGCCACCCUUUCAUUGCCCUGCGCCCCGAGCGGUCCCACCGCCCGGCAAAACACUGAGCAAGCCGCUGCUCUCACCUUGCUUGACACACUUGAGCCGGAGGGGGUCCUUGCAGUGUUUGAUCACGGCCAGCACGUCCCUGAUGGUGAGCCCCGCCACGGGGGUCUCGUUCACCUCCAGCAGCAGCUCCUCCGACACCAAUUUGCUGCCGCUCUCAUAGGCCACCUUGCCGGGCUUCACCUCCCCCAGUAAUGUCUUACAAUAACAGAAUGCAGGAGAGCACAUAUCAAUGAAGAAAAGACAAAAUGUACUUAUCCAUGAAGCUGAGGUUAAGAAACCAGUGUCUUCAAGAGCCAGGGACAGCACUGGGUCUGUGCAGAGUUGAGAGAUGGUGAUGACAUGCCUACAGCACAGCUGAUGAAAGAGAAGACAUCUUGCUGCUAUUUGACAAGCAAGAAGAUAAAAGCUUUCCUAUAAAGAUGAUGGAGC